UGAAUAUACAUGGUCAUCUUGUAUGAAAGAUUAUUUUAAAUUACAUGAUGCAUGUGUUAGGAAACAAUUAACUUGCAUAACAUGCCAUGAUUAGUAGAGCUGGGAACUUGUAUAUUACUUUUAUGUAAUGUUUCCUUUUUCAUAAAAUAACUCUUAACCCACUUACAAAGAGGUUAGAAAUGGCCUAAAUUAAAAUUAACCCAAGGAUGUAGGCCAAACCCAGGACAAAGCAUUUUAUUGCAUGCCACUCAUCCCAGCGCCACAUCCAGACACAGUAUAGCACAGGAAAGUACUGUGCUGGCCCAUGAUUGGAAUAGGCAUGGCACAGGUUACCUAGAUCCAUUGUAUGUUGUGUAACUGCAAAACAACCAAGAAUACCAAAUAAACUAAUAUAAACUCAUUGCCAGUCCUUUUUAUGAGGAAAUGAAACUUCCAUCUAGAUAGUUACACUGUAGACAAAAUAGAGAAAGAGCCAGGAAUUCUUAUCAAAAACUAAAAUGCACCCUAGAACUUAAUUAUUUAUCAGUAACAACAUAAUCAAACUAGAUUUAAAGCAAAAUGUUUAGAAGUCAAAUAAGUUGAUGCUCGAUACAGAACAACAAACAACAAAGUAAUAAUAAAUCACAACCGGUCAUACUGUAUCACAAGAAAAGGUAUUAAUAUCAUUAUGCCCACAAUAAUGUAGAGCAUAGACACAUGGUACGGCAUCUCAGUUAUGUUAUGAUGCCACCAGCGGGCAUAUCAUAAGUCCAUGAUCUGUACCAUACCAUACUAGUAAGGCACCACCAUGGUUACCGGCACCACCAUGGUUACCAGCACCAAUCCUUUACACUUUGCACUACACUAUGUGCCACUAAUUCUAAGACCAUCAUCAAACUACAAAGAAAGGAGCAUCACUAGCAAUUAAAGAUGUCUACAAAGUAGACUUUUCUCAAUAAAAGGUAUGAAUAUAAUUAACACUUUGGUCAAACCAUUGAUAUAUCUUAAUCAACUGAAGAAUAUGGAAAAUAAAAAUAGCAGCUCAAGCAGUAAACGACAUGAGAAAACAAUCUGAUUACGCUUUGAGGCUUAGACUUACAACUAAAAUGGAAACUGAAUUACUGAGUAAUUCUUCGCAAAAUCCAUUAUGAGGCUAAGGUAUGAUAUACCAAGACUAAGAAAAGAAAUUGAAGAAGAGCGGAAAAAAAGAACAAGGAAGGAAAGAAGAGUUGGAAAUGUAAAAUUUACCAUAAUCAGAAAUUACAUUAAAUAUCCAUAGUCUGACACUUUUGACUCAUCAAAAGCUUAUAUGGACCUCUACAAACUCAAGACCCUGAAGACUUUUGAUCAAGAUGGUAGAUUUCUCCAGAGGACUCAUACAACGGAUAAAUUAUAAAAUUCUAUAAACACCAACAAACAUAAUACAUAAACCUGGAAACAAUCUGCUACUUAAUUAUACCUAGAACCUUCCAUCUCCAAAAUUCAAAUUUAACAGAAGUCUCUGAAAUACCUCUGGCAAAGAGCCAACAAAACAUACCAUUAAAAGGUAAUUGACACAUUGUAGAUUUAACAGAAACCUCUUUUAGUCCCUUGGAUCCAUCCUACAUCAAGUUCAACUCUUCAAAAGUAUUGUCCUAAAGUUCAAAGAAGACUUCUCCAGCUAUUAAGAUUUACUUUCUGUUUGGCAGGGAUAUAUAUCAUGGUUUAUCUCAAUAUAUUCAAAAAGAAAACUCAUCAAUUUCAGAUUUUACACAAUAAUAAUGUUUCAAUUAUCCUUAAGAAUCAUCACCUUGAGGAUCUUUAUGGAUUAUUAGGAUUAAAGGAAGGAUUUAUCUCAUUAUUAGAUAAAAGUCAACGUCUUACAACACCAUUUUGCCACGCAAUUUUCCAGAGUUUGCAAUCAUCAUGCAAGGGAACAUGGAAAGAAAAUGUGAAAACAUGCCUGAAGGCACUUGUUCAGCAAUUUGAUAAGGGAAAAAAAUUCGAUGACAUUUUACAAGCAACAUUCUAAAACAAUCCUAGGUUUCAUGAAUUCCAACCAAAAACUAAUUGUACCAGUGAUUUGACCAAAAGUUAAAACUACGCUUUCAGCUUCAGUUGUUUCUGAUUUAUAUCAUAUGCACUUAACUUUCCGAACCUUAUUGAAAAUUUUAAAUCAUAUGACAGAUAUGGCCAACUAUUAAUGCAACAAAAGAAGCAAAUGAUAAAAGACAAGAAAGGAUUUUUGAUAACAGAGGUGCAGGAGGGAAUAACGAUAUGAUCUAGCAAGUAGAACAACAAGCAUUGCAUAGAAUUGAAUAUAGAUCCAUGACAGAAAAAUAUAUGUAAUCUUACUUUACUAAAAUAGGGAAAGAACCGUGACACGCAAUAAGCUAAAAAAACUGCAGUAUAAUCUAGAAAAAUCAAUGAAGUUGUCUGUCCACCUAACAAGGCAAUAAAAUCAUAAUCUAAAAGAUCGAAGAGAAUUGCAUGACUAUUAAAGUCUUCACAAUUUACGCUGCUGCAACUUCUCACUACCAUUUCAUACUUUUAAGUUUGUUCAUACUUAAAAGUACUUUUUACAUGUUUCCACUGAAAUGAAAGCAGAACCCACAUCACAUUUCUUAUCAGUAUGUUACCUUUCUACAAAUAUUUUACAUUCUUUGUUUUUGUUUUUUAAGAAAGGAGGUCAUUAGUCCACCUGUUUCUAGGUAAAUUUUGUAGCUUCUUUUACAAAGUUCAAAGAGAAUAUUGACAUAUCAGUAUGUAUACUCAAUAAGAUCAUAAUCCACAUGCAUAAAUUACCAAAAGUACCAAGAGGGAACGCCAUAGAUCAGAAAAUGCAGGUCCAUGAUGCUCAAGCAACAAAACAAUAGAUGAUAAUGAAGCAUUCAAGCCACAAUUGUGAUAGACUAAUCAAAACCAUACACAUUGAGAGUGUUAUGAGAGGAUAACAAGAAGUGGGACUCCCCUCAAAUGUUUCGAACUUCAAAACGAUUACAACAUAAAAAAGACAAGUAUCCCUCUCAAAAGAACAUGUAACAGAAACCAGCUAAUCUUUCGAGCUAAAACACA
rnacentral:lncRNA from 1 species